AACGAACGCUGGCGGCGUGCUUAACACAUGCAAGUCGAACGCGAAAGUUUUCUUCGGAAGACGAGUAGAGUGGCGCACGGGUGAGUAACGCGUAAGUAAUCUGCCCUGGUAUCCGGGAUAACCCACCGAAAGGUGUGCUAAUACGGGAUACGCUGAUUUAUCAGGAAAGGUGGCCUCUUCAUGAAAGCUACUGUACCAGGAGGAGCUUGCGUACCAUUAGCUAGUUGGUAGGGUAAUGGCCUACCAAGGCGACGAUGGUUAGCGGGUCUGAGAGGAUGAUCCGCCACACUGGAACUGAAACACGGACCAGACUCCUACGGGAGGCAGCAGUGAGGAAUAUUGCGCAAUGGGGGAAACCCUGACGCAGCGACGCCGCGUGGAUGAUGAAGGC
rnacentral:rRNA from 1 species